GGAGAGAUGGCAGAGCGGUUGAAUGCGGCGGUCUCGAAAACCGUUGUCCGUCAUCGAUGGACCGGGGGUUCGAAUCCCCCUCUCUCCG
rnacentral:tRNA from 1 species